GACGAACGCUGGCGGCGUGCCUAAUACAUGCAAGUAGAACGCACAGUUUAUACCGUAGCUUGCUACACCAUAGACUGUGAGUUGCGAACGGGUGAGUAACGCGUAGGUAACCUGCCUGGUAGCGGGGGAUAACUAUUGGAAACGAUAGCUAAUACCGCAUAAUAUUAAUUAUUGCAUGAUAAUUAAUUGAAAGGUGCAAUUGCACCACUACCAGAUGGACCUGCGUUGUAUUAGCUAGUAGGUGAGGUAACGGCUCACCUGGGCGACGAUACAUAGCCGACCUGAGAGGGUGAUCGGCCACACUGGGACUGAGACACGGCCCAGACUCCUACGGGAGGCAGCAGUAGGGAAUCUUCGGCAAUGGACGAAAGUCUGACCGAGCAACGCCGCAUGAGUGAAGAAGGUUUUCGGAUCGUAAAGCUCUGUUGUAAGAGAAGAACGGGUGUGAGAGUGGAAAGUUCACACUGUGACGGUAUCUUACCAGAAAGGGACGGCUAACUACGUG
rnacentral:rRNA from 1 species